rnacentral:rRNA from 1 species
UUUUCGAAGAGUUCGAUCCUGGCUCAGAAUGAACGCUGGCGGCGUGCUUUACACAUGCAAGUCGAGCGGAGACCUUGUCGAAGGGCAACCGGAGAUGAUGUCUCAGCGGCAAACGGGUGAGUAA